rnacentral:snoRNA from 1 species
AGCCCAUGAUGUAGACAUCUUCUAAGAAAAUCUUUAAAUCGCUACCAAGCCUCAUAUAGUGACUCAUCACUAAAUUGUGUGAAAGAAGUUAUAUCAUUCUUCAGCAU